CCUACGGGAGGCAGUAGUAGGGAAUUUUCGUCAAUGGGCGCAAGCCUGAACGAGCAAUGCCGCGUGAACGAGGAAGGUCUUCGGAUCGUAAAGUUCUGUUGAAGGGGAAAAAGAGCGGAGAGUGGAAAUGGUCUCCGAUUGAUAUUACCCUUCGAGGAAGUCACGGCUAACUACGUGCCAGCAGCCGCGGUAAUACGUAGGUGGCGAGCGUUAUCCGGAAUGAUUGGGCGUAAAGGGUGCGUAGGCGGCCUGCUAAGUCUGGAGUGAAAGGUACCGGCUCAACCGGUACAGGCUCUGGAAACUGGCGGGCUAGAGAGCAGGAGAGGGCGGUGGAACUCCAUGUGUAGCGGUAAAAUGCGUAGAUAUAUGGAAGAACACCAGUGGCGAAGGCGGCCGCCUGGCCUGUUACUGACGCUGAGGCACGAAAGCGUGGGGAGCAAAUAGGAUUAGAUACCCCGGUAGUC
rnacentral:rRNA from 1 species